rnacentral:rRNA from 1 species
AGUAACGCGUGAGGAACCUGCCUCAAAGAGGGGGACAACAGUUGAAACGACUGCUAAUACCGCAUAAGCCCACGGCUCGGCAUCGAGCAGAGGGAAAAGGAGCAAUCCGCUUUGAGAUGGCCUCGCGUCCGAUUAGCUAGUUGGUGAGGUAACGGCCCACCAAGGCGACGAUCGGUAGCCGGACUGAGAGGUUGAACGGCCACAUUGGGACUGAGACACGGCCCAG